CCUACGGGAGGCAGCAGUGAGGAAUAUUGGUCAAUGGACGAGAGUCUGAACCAGCCAAGUCGCGUGAAGGAUGACUGCCCUAUGGGUUGUAAACUUCUUUUAUAAAGGAAUAAAACGAGGCACGUGUGCCUGUUUGCAUGUACUUUAUGAAUAAGGAUCGGCUAACUCCGUGCCAGCAGCCGCGGUAAUACGGAGGAUCCGAGCGUUAUCCGGAUUUAUUGGGUUUAAAGGGAGCGUAGAUGGGUUGUUAAGUCAGUUGUGAAAGUUUGCGGCUCAACCGUAAAAUUGCAAUUGAUACUGGCAGUCUUGAGUAUAGUUGAGGUAGGCGGAAUUCGUGGUGUAGCGGUGAAAUGCUUAGAGAUCACGAAGAACCCCGAUUGCGAAGGCAGCUUACUAAACUGUGACUGACAUUGAUGCUCGAAAGUGUGGGUAUCAAACAGGAUUAGAUACCCCAGUAGUC
rnacentral:rRNA from 1 species